CUUUGUGUAAAAAUGCACAAAAUGAGCACUGUACAUUUUCUGGAUGUGCUUUUUUGCUUCAAACAUGGGGGUGGUGGAGAUUGCCGAGGCUAGCCCCAGAAAAUCCUAAUGACUACUCCUUCCCCUACGCAACUAGGUUCAUUACAACCGGACUGGAUUACAGUCUUACCCCCAAAAAUAAAAUUAUAUUUUAUCGUCAACUGUUGGAUCGUCUCCGAGCACAGGAUUUUAUUUGGAGGCCAUAUUUGGGAUUGGAACAUCAACCCAACCCCGAAGAUGCAGCUGUUUGGACAGCAAAAACGGCCAUAAUGCGGUUCACCACUGUGGAGAUGCACCAAAGUGACCGUGUCAAGCUUCAAUUCGGAAUGCAUCAAGACAUCCCAGGCCCCCCAAUGUCCAUGGAACCUUGGCAUCUAAAAAAAGUCAGCCACCAGUGGUAUGCCCAAAAUUGGAAGGAAUUUGCUAAGGAGUUUCGAAAAAUGUGGAAAGACCGUGCCCACUAUGUUCUACAAUUUCCGGUGGCGCCCAACGAAAUGAAGCCGACAAGGGAAUAUGUGGAAUGGUAUAGAGCAAAUACCAAUCCAGAAAUGAUUGUGUCUGACCCGUUCUAUUUGGACGA